AUGUAUGUGAUGAAAAAAAUCGUUCGGAUUCCCUAUGAUUUUUUGUAAAUAUGAUUCCUAACCAGCUACUUCUGAUACAU
rnacentral:snoRNA from 1 species